rfam:Myotis brandtii contig171763, whole genome shotgun sequence.
GGCAGUUCUUGGGUGAUGCACCCCAGAAUCAGGCUCCCUCCUCUCUGGUUCUGGGUGCGUCACCAGAGAACUGCA